rnacentral:rRNA from 1 species
UACAGAGGCCUCAAGCAUUAUCCGGAAUCACUGGGCGUAAAGGGUGUGUAGGCGGUCGUGUUAGUCUUUCGUGAAAGAUCUUGGGCUUAACCCAGGAGACGCGGGGGAAACGGCACGACUUAGAGGACGCGAGAGGUAUAUGGAACUCAUGGUGUAGGGGUGAAAUCCGUUGAUAUCAUGGGGAACACCAAAUGCGAAGGCAAUAUACUGGCGCGCUCCUGACGCUGAAACACGAAAGCGUGGGAAUCGAACGGG